rnacentral:lncRNA from 1 species
UAGUUUGUUUCGCCAAGCUUCACCCUCUCGUCAGAAAAAAAAUGAUGACCUACUAUACCUUUAACUACAGUAGUCUUAAAUAAGGAUAUUCGUAGAUUUCGUUGUCUACUCUUCGAUUGGCGCAAGUACGCAGGCACGAACAGGAGUGGUAUGCGCACGUGCAAAAUCGACUUUGUUAAGAUAUACAAUAUCUUAGACUUAAACUUUGCACACGUCACUUGUUCAUAAAAGAUAAAAACACAUCUGGCUGAGGAAGACAAGUGUAUGUUACGCCCAUUUUGAGAUGCUUCUCUGCAACGAAAGUCUCGAGGCGGAAGUACGCGCACAAAGUUCUCCCCAAGGCCUGCUACUCUGGCAGAUGGCAGAAGGUCACCCUGUCAUCUGUCCGCAGGUGUGUGAGGGAGGGUAAAGGUUGUGAGGUCGGAGGUGGGGGAGAGGGGUGGCGGCUUCACGCUCCGGCGUGUCCCACCUGUCGCUAAAGUGAACUUGGCCACGACGACAGCAUGCACAGACAGGUCUGCGAUGUGCACCGCACGUUAUGCUGACGGAGGGGUAAGGCGGAGGAGCUAGGGAGGGGGAAACUGGCGAGUCCUCGCAACAGUGUGCCAAUGAGAAUUUAUUUCGCUGAGCGAAAGGCCCUCGGUCACCUGUGUGUGUGUGGGUGAGAAAGAACGUGUGUGGGACGCGCGUGUGUGUCUGUGCGUGCGUGCUGUCCGCAUGUUCCUCUACCUAACCUCUGGUCCAAUGAGACGACGGACGACUACUCAAGUGGAUGCGCGCGCAUCGCUGAUGUAGGGCUCAAGCCACCUCCCUUGUUCUCAUCGCCUUGACUCGGUGACCAGGUCUUCGCCAGUGUAUUUAACCUUGGGACUACGUGUGCCAGGAUCCCACAUCAACAGCUGCUUUCUUUGCGAAGACCCACACCUCACCUGGACCUCCAGAAAGAUUCAUCCUCCACGAAAAAUUCAACGAACAAGAGGUUAUUUUGUAAGACAGUAAGAACCUUCUGCAGUCUGAGGUAACAGUUUACCAAAACAAAAUUUUGCGAUUAAAACUUUCAGGAUCAGAACUCAGUCUAUAGUCAGAAAGAGGCAAGUUUCCACAGCGCCACGAAUUCUGCAAAAUUUCCUCAGCACGGAGCAGACCAGCAGUGAAUUUUGAAGAAAGUUUUCAAAUAUUGUAGUUUUGGCCAAUAAGUGUGGGAAUUUUAAAUUAUCACGUCCAGGGCACUAUUUAUCACCUUGACACAACACCUCAUGAGUCCGAUAAUUUACACCAUGACUGCCACGACAACCGUGUUGUUAUUCUCCUGUUUGCCAGAAAGAUGAAUCAUGGCAGCGGUUCACCUACAUUUGCCAUCAACUCCCGCGACGGAGUUGUAACUUUAAAUGAGCCAGAUGAUUCCUAACAUCGCCGUGCAGUUCAAAACGCUUGUAAUUGAUUGACAGAAGGUUUGCACCCAAAGUGAACUUCAGAAAGCGUCCUAGUGCGACUUUAAUCGUCUUCACACUAAUCUAAUCGUCUAAGACAGAAAAGGAGUUUGGAUUUCGAACUCCAUAUGACGAGCCCAAGACGUUGCAGAGCACAACUUUCGUUGGAAUUCCAGUUUUGGCGGAAAGUUUACUUGGACUUCAAUGGAUCUGAACAUCGCGGUGGGUUUGCAGAUGACAUGGCGGGCGACAAUGUGGCUGUUGCUGCUGGCCAUCCAUGGGAACAUCACUCAUUCCGCGACAUUAUCCGACAUUCUCUCCCUUGCCUGCUCAUCGAUAUGCAAGCACGGGGUGUGCCGGUACCAGCUGCUCGCAGGACUGAGAGUGACCCUUAGGUGCGAGUGUCACCCUGGGUGGAGUGGGGAGCAGUGCUCUCUACCCUGCACUCACAGGUGUCCCCAACGUCGCUGCUUUCUCGUUGGCAAUAGAAACACGUGUCUUUGCCCUCAGGGCAUCAGUGGAGUGGACUGCUUUCUACCCGACUCGGCCACCGUCAUCAGUCCCGCCUCCGCUAACUCAGCCACCCUGACAGAUUCCGGAAACCAAAUCUUCCGAGCCAGCCAUAGCAAAGGGACGGUUAAGGUCUCGACUAGGGUGUUGCUUCCCGAACACAUCUCUGCGGGGAUCUCGAGACACAUCCGGGUGGCCACUGUGCAGAAUCCGCGAGAGCAGGUAGAGCGAAACGUGGAGCUUGGGGCCCACCAGUGCACGGGUAACUUCGUGUGUCGCAACGGUGGGAAGUGCGUCAGGGGGGAGUUCGGGGGGUAUAGGUGCCAGUGUUUGACCCCCUUCACCGGCACCUUCUGCCAGACCGCGUGCUUGAAGCCGUGCAUGAACGGAGGUGUCUGCGUGAAAGUUCCAGAACAACCGCAAUCUCCUACCCGCUCCUCCCCGCCCCAUCCCCCUCCAGUGCGCCCCUACACCUACAAGUGCAACUGCCCUUUGACUUUCACAGGGGAACUGUGCCAAACGAGGCUGGAAGAGAUGAACCCAUAAACCCAUAGAAGUGGGAGAAUUCCGUCUUCCGAACACGGCUGGAGUCAGACACAAUUUGACACUAAAGCAGUUGUGAGUAUUUGCAUUGUAAUCUUAGGUCUCUCCUUCAAGCAAGGUGAAUGGGGCUCAGUUAAAAAAAAUCGCCUUCAAAGUGAUGCUAAUGUUUUGUGUCCUGCAAUGGCAAACACUGAUGCGUGGGGAGUCUGUGUAACGGUUUUGGCCACAAAAAUAAACGCUGACUAUCGUGAACAAGUGACAUAUCUUGAAAGUGUAAGAGGAAGUGUUAAGGAACAAAUCCAUAAAUAACUGCACUUGCUUAUGUGACGACAGCGGCGGAGCAGGAAGACGAGUGAGAACGAUGAGAAUUACCUUGUUGUAUAUUUAUGUAUGUAGGUAUGCAUGGCUGAAAUGGAUGUACAUAGUGCUUAUGUGUGCACAUGUUUGCGCGUACGAUUGUGUGUGUGUGCAUCAGUCAGCGUUCUGCAAGACACCACUGCUAACAAGGAUUCAUCCACUUUGUUUCUUUGUGAUAACUGCAUUGUCUCUAUUUGCUAGAGUUUUUAUUUAUGGUUUACUUAAUAUCUUCAUCAAACAGUAAAUUGGUUUUCUCAUUGAUUUAUUCUUAUAAUCAUUUUGUAAAAUUUAGCUGUUUCUCAUGUUUACAUGAUAACGCGUGCACGUGUACCUAAACAGCCAGUUACCUGUCCAGUCGUCAGUUAGGAAAGACACAAUUUAAUAAUAACAACAAAUGAAAAAUUUGUAAAGUGCAUACUCACACUCCUAAGGAGCAAGCUCUUAGCGCUUAAGAACAAGAACGAGACACGGGAAACAUGCGAGGAACAAAAAACAAACAAACAAACAAACAAACAUAUAAACUACGGAAGAUCAAAAAUGAGUACAGAUGACAAAAAAAACAAACCAACCAAAAAACAAAAAAAAAAGAAACAAAAAAAAACAAAAAAACAAAAAAAAACAACAAAACAAACACACACACAUACAAAACAAAAAACAACAACCAACAACAACAAAAAAAAAAAACAAAAACAAAAAACAACAACAACAACAACGAACAAAUAUUAAAACGAACAGAGGAUCCAAGUAACAAAGACUGAGAGUAUUUGUGCUUUUGCCUGACAUACAGUUUUGCUCAACCGAAGCCUAUGGAAUGUUGCGAUGAUGAAGUAAUAAUCGUAAAGUAAUACUUAGACCAUGAUGGACUGAAAGACUAAGUGUCGUAAGAAAUACAUAAUAAGCAGACUUAUUUUUGUUUUGUUCAUCCAAAUAUUUAUCUGUUAUCUAACUUCAUAAUUCAUAAGAUACGUCACAGUGUUAAAAAUAAACUUCAUAAUUAAUUCUUUAUUUUAAAGUAUAUAAAAAUUAUGAAUUCAUGCUUUUCUAUUGGUGUCUUUUUCACAAUUCUAGCUGUCGAGAAAAGAGUAGAGACAUUGAGAUUGUUUGCUCUUUUUCCCAAAACUAAAUGAAUUUAGAAGCCGCCUGUUCAGAGUCUUUGACGAAAUAUUACUUUCGGAUAAACUUAUUGAUAUAAUUUUAAAGUUACUGUCUCCUGUCUGUAGAAGUUACUUGUUGACUUACUCUGAACAGCCAUGUGAGUGCUCAAACUAAACUUACGGUUUUUAAACUAAUGUGGAAAGCCAUUGGCUUGCUAUCACUUCUGACAUAAAGCUCAGCUAAUAUGCUUUCUUCUCUCAGAAGAAAAACAUGUCACAAGUUAUUUCAGGCAGUAAACUGUUUACAAAAGAGAUUUCAUCAUCUAAUAAAAUGCACAUUUCCGCCAGCUGCUGUGAUAUUGUAUUCCCCUCUGUGAUUGACAUCUAGGUCUUGUAUGAAAACUAGGUUCGCCGCAGUCUGUUAUUUGUUUGUCAUAUCAACAUGAUUGUCUUGGAUUGGGUACACUGUAUAGGGCAGUCCUCCCAACACUCCCCCCACCCCUGCUUCAUUUAAAGUCACUUUUGACAUUACAUCUGCCAACGCCUCCCUGUACAUUUCUUAACGUUUCCCUGCUACAUCAGUGUCACAGUUUAGGUUGACUUGAAAAGUGGAUUUUGUCUGGGCUCAGAUGACUUAUAUCACUUCUGAUGAGCCGGCUGCGCGUCGGUUAUUCUACGUCAUCUCAGGAAUGCAUGAAAUGCAUAAUUUUUUUUCAAAAUUGCGAAAUGAUUCAUCUUGUAUUUUCUGCGCUUUUUGCGGUAUUAUUGUAAGUCUAUAAUGCGUGUAUAAACUGAAAUGUUGGAAUCGAGCAAAACAGGGUGUGAGUUUUACUUUCAUUGCAAUCAUGUAACAUUGCUUUUCUUUCUGGGCGAUAUCUUCCAAUGACUUUUACUCGUGCUCAUCUUUGGUUUGAUAUGCAAGGAGAAUAAAAACUUUGGCGAGAAA